rnacentral:rRNA from 1 species
AGAAGCAAUAAUGUUAAUAUGAGUAACAAGAAAUAUUUCUCCCAGCACAUGUGUAUAUCUGAACGAAUAUAUCACUGAUAAUUAACAAAACAAACACAACCAAACCACCCACCAUACUACUAAUUGUUAAUCCAACACAGGAGUGCUAUCAGGGAAAGAUUAAAAGAAGUAAAAGGAACUCGGC